GUUCGCGUGGAGUAGCGGUCAUCUCGUCACCCUCUCAAGGUGAAGAUCGCGGGUUCGAAUCCCGCCGCGAAUG
rnacentral:tRNA from 1 species